UUUUAAUUGAAAUUUUUUAUGACCGCGAAUAAUUGCAGCCGCGAAUAUAUCCCGACCUACGGUAUUCAUAGUGUGGACGUUGGCUUUUGCAGUGAAAAAUGAAUUUUCUAACUUAUUUUAUGAGGAAAAUAAAGAUUCAGCAGCAUAAAGUAGUAAGGGUAGGAUCAUCAGCUAUUAUUGUCAUUAAUUCUUAUUAUUGUCAUCAUUUAAACAGAUUCAUAUUUCUUUU